UCUGACGGAGCAACGCCGCGUGAGUGAUGAAGGUUUUCGGAUCGUAAAGCUCUGUUGUUAGGGAAGAACAAGUGCCGUUCAAAUAGGGCGGCACCUUGACGGUACCUAACCAGAAAGCCACGGCUAACUACGUGCCAGCAGCCGCGGUAAUACGUAGGUGGCAAGCGUUGUCCGGAAUUAUUGGGCGUAAAGGGCUCGCAGGCGGUUUCUUAAGUCUGAUGUGAAAGCCCCCGGCUCAACCGGGGAGGGUCAUUGGAAACUGGGGAACUUGAGUGCAGAAGAGGAGAGUGGAAUUCCACGUGUAGCGGUGAAAUGCGUAGAGAUGUGGAGGAACACCAGUGGCGAAGGCGACUCUCUGGUCUGUAACUGACGCUGAGGAGCGAAAGCGUGGGGAGCGAACAGGAUUAGAUACCCUGGUAGUCCACGCCGUAAACGAUGAGUGCUAAGUGUUAGGGGGUUUCCGCCCCUUAGUGCUGCAGCUAACGCAUUAAGCACUCCGCCUGGGGAGUACGGUCGCAAGACUGAAACUCAAAGGAAUUGACGGGGGCCCGCACAAGCGGUGGAGCAUGUGGUUUAAUUCGAAGCAACGCGAAGAACCUUACCAGGUCUUGACAUCCUCUGACAAUCCUAGAGAUAGGACGUCCCCUUCGGGGGCAGAGUGACAGGUGGUGCAUGGUUGUCGUCAGCUCGUGUCGUGAGAUGUUGGGUUAAGUCCCGCAACGAGCGCAACCCUUGAUCUUAGUUGCCAGCAUUCAGUUGGGCACUCUAAGGUGACUGCCGGUGACAAACCGGAGGAAGGUGGGGAUGACGUCAAAUCAUCAUGCCCCUUAUGACCUGGGCUACACACGUGCUACAAUGGACAGAACAAAGGGCAGCGAAACCGCGAGGUUAAGCCAAUCCCACAAAUCUGUUCUCAGUUCGGAUCGCAGUCUGCAACUCGACUGCGUGAAGCUGGA
rnacentral:rRNA from 1 species